GUGCGGAGAGGAGGGGGGGUGGGAGGACCCUGCGAGACCAGCCAGCCGCACCGCGAGCUGCAACAACACGGGGAUAAACACCGAAUAUCCAACUAGGACUCCAGCUUCAUGUCUCCUUCUCAUAAAAUGACUUUGAUCUUCAGUCUGGGCCGUUUGUAAAUACCGAAAGGCCUGUAUUUCGGGAUUGACACGUCCAGUAUCCAGUUCUCUGCUAACACUUUAUUUACGGCGAAUUGCACAAGCUCUCAACUCUGAUGUGAGAUAUUGUCAGCUCGUCCAGUCAUCGAUCAUCUGCCCCCGGUGCCAGAAAUGGUGUCAUAACAUGAUAAUGCGGCUUCACACAUUCGGCGGUGAUUCCUGCGGUAAAACCCGAGCGGUGGGAUCAGAUGGGACGAAUGUACAGGCAUGAAAUGACUAUCAAAGCCUCCUGCAGACCGGCCGGCGAGGCUCCGGGGCGCGGACACCAGCGAAGCACGAAGCCGCGCACGAGCCAUGGACUUUAACGCACAGAGAUACCGGACCAAAUAAUAAACUGGGUUGACUUGUAGGACUCGUCGAGUUACUUAAUUCAAUUAUUUAUUGGUGAGUAGAAGUUCUCAUUUUAUUAUUUUUAUGCGUAGGCCUAUUUAAUUAAACAUCUUAUUAUUGUCAUUGAUAUUUUCUUGAUGGGAAGUUAUUUUUAAUUAAACAAUAAGCUGGUGUUUAAAACCACUUUCAGCUAAAUUUGUGCAUUUAGUGAAACGUAAACAGGAUUAUAGCCUUGCUCACUACACCACAAGGCACACUAAAUGUUAAGAGGGUUAUACAGAAAAAGCAUAAUUAACAUGAAAGGAGACCCCAUCAGCGCCGGACCACUGUAAAAUAACUACAAUGGCAUUAUAAAGCAAUUAAGCUACGUCAAUUAGCGUCUAUAAAAGCAAACUGGAGCUCCACUUUCUCUCCUGGACUUGCUCUUUCGUGAGGGUCAGCGCAUUUUGGCAUCCUGAAAGAGCGGGGAGUGGGGGGGGGGUGGGUGGUGGAGGGGGCAAAUACCGUCAUUUGUUUUUAAUCCGCUUUGCGAUGACGGUAAUGCUUUGAGUCGUUUCAAUAAAAUCAGCAGGUAUUACUUUCAAACGGCAGAAUGUAAAUUGACAGCAUGUCUGACUGGCGAAACAAAUGGAUGCGUUAUUCCACGGCCUGUGCGCCGUGACUUGUGCAGUUUGGAGACAAAGACGAGCUGCAGCCUUUCUGUUAGUUUAUCAAAACACACGCAACAUGCAAAACGUCUAAGACCUGUAUCCCUCUACUGUUACAUAGUACUAUUUAAGUCAUCAACAGCUAUUCUGGGUCACAGCGUUGUAACAGAUAAUGCAAAUUUGAAAAUGUAUUUUAAUGAGUGCACUUUGACUAAAAAAACUACAUUUUUUUAAAGAGAUAAAAACAAGAUCUCCAGGUCAGAGAGCAACUGUCCGGGCCUUUGUGGUUGCCUGUCUGUGGAGCCACUGGCAGCCUGAGGUUUCAAACUGAGGUCAAACGUUUUGCAGCUCUGCGCGCAAACGUGUUGGGAUCUGCAAAGGCCACCGAGCCUCUCUGCUUUGUGUCACCGCUGCAACACACAGGCACACAGAUAGACUUGCUGCAAAGUUUUCACAGCUCAUCUAAUUAUGUGAAACUACUAGUAUAUUAUCGCCUGUCACAAUAUCCAGCCGGAUUCAUGAAGGGUGCAUUUAGGCGCUGUGAGCUCAGUUGAGGAAAAGGCGAGGAAAAUGGUUUCUCUUGCCUCGAAGAUUUAUUUUAAAAGUUUAGUGUAGAACCCAGUGUCACAUGUUAAAGGCAGUAUUAUAGUCUGAUUCUCCACCGUCGGUUACCAACUGUUGUAACGUUUAGCAAAGGGUGACAUUAUUUUUCAAUACAGGUUGUCUCUGUAACAGAUAGUUAUAAAGGACAGUGAGGUGUUUGCCAAAGUUUGAAGAUUAAAAAUAAAUAAAUAAUGGCACUAAUAUUACGAGAGUUCAAUCACGUGGCACCGAAAACAUCCUGGCCAAUAGGCUGCUAUGGCUCGUUUUUAAUGGUGUAAAAGCCUUGCUUUGGUAAUAAUUGGAAAUAACAUGAUGUUUUACAAUAUUCAUUUUAAACCAUGACAUCCGUUCCACUGUGUACCAGGGGCUACUCUUUCCUCUGGGAGUUCUCACUUCUGUUUCAUGCUGCAGUUUGGGCCCCAUGUUAAUCUGAGCUGCACUCGUCUCUCACACACAUUAAUGCUUAAUCAUUUGCGCCUUCUACCGGACCUGUUGGAAAUUACAUGAGAUGCAGAAAGGCAGAGGCAGAAUCUUGCUCAGAUAAUUAAGAUAAAAAGUAACCCUGCCAAACAAAUCGACCGUUACACUUUUGGUGUACUUCUGUUGCAUUGGCAGCAUUUUGAUCUUUUCCAGCAUGCUGCACUAAAUACUAAAUAUUAUGUUUGAAUCUCUAAAGAAAUGGCUUAUUUCUUGUGA